rnacentral:rRNA from 1 species
AUUGAACGCUGGCGGCAUGCUUUACACAUGCAAGUCGAACGGGGUGAGGAGCUUGCUCCUCAUCUAGUGGCGAACGGGUGAGUAAUACAUCGGAACGUACCGUGUAGUGGGGGAUAACGUAGCGAAAGUUACGCUAAUACCGCAUACGAUCCACGGAUGAAAGCAGGGGACCUUCGGGCCUUGUGCUAUACGAGCGGCCGAUGUCUGAUUAGCUAGUUGGUGGGGUAAAGGCCCACCAAGGCAACGAUCAGUAGCGGGUCUGAGAGGAUGAUCCGCCACACUGGGACUGAGACACGGCCCAGACUCCUACGGGAGGCAGCAGUGGGGAAUUUUGGACAAUGGGCGCAAGCCUGAUCCAGCCAUGCCGCGUGUCUG